AGUGAACGCUGGCGGUAGGCCUAACACAUGCAAGUCGAACGGCAGCACAGUAAGAGCUUGCUCUUACGGGUGGCGAGUGGCGGACGGGUGAGGAAUACAUCGGAAUCUACUUUUUCGGGGGUGCUAACGUAGGGAAACUUACGCUAAUACCGCAUACGACCUACGGGUGAAAGCAGGGGAUCUUCGGGCCUUGCGCGAUUGAAUGAGCCGAUGUCGGAUUAGCUAGUUGGCGGGGUAAAGGCGCACCAAGGCGACGAUCCGUAGCGGGUCCGAGGGGCUGGUCCGCCACCCUGGAACUGAGGCACGGUCCAGACUCCUACGGGGGGCCGCAGUGGGGAAUCUUGGACGAUGGAGGAAAGCCUGAUCCAGCCAUACCGCGUGGGUGAAGAAGGCCUUCGGGUUGUAAAGCCCUUUUGUUGGGAAAGAAAAACAGCAGGUUAAUACCCCGCUGUAAUGACGGUACCGAAAGAAUAAGCACCGGCUAACUUCGUG
rnacentral:rRNA from 1 species